AUUUUUUGUUGUUUUUAAACUCCUAUCUUAAAAAACUAAAAAAUGCAUUUGUUUGCAUGGCUGAUCUGUUUUAAAUACUUUUUUAAUUUAUCUGCGGUGGCCCUUAGUGAGCGUGCGCUAAUAUAAUUAUAUUCUUAUGGCUACCACUUCGAAAAAAGGUUGCAAAGGAAACAAUAGUAUAAUUUAGAUAAUGUCGAGCAUGAUUAUUAAUAACGAGUGAAACCAGCAGACGCAGUUUUAUAAUUCGUAUAAUAUGACAGCGAGGUUAAAGCGGAGAAAACAAAUGGUGAAUGCGGAGACCUCUUGCAUUUCUGUUGCGUAGCUGGAGGGAUUUACGGGGACUUAAUUCCUUAAAACUGUCCUCUCGUCCACAUGACGCUCAAAUGCAAGUGCUCAAGCUGAUCUAGCCAAAUGUAUCAAGAGAUGAGUGCAUCUCAUUGCCAUGGGGCUAGAUUAGGGCCUUUUAUAAGACAAGUAGAAAACACGUGAAACCAGUGCGGAGUAACGCAACGAGGAGGUGAAUUAGCUAGCUUCAAAAAUGAUAAAAACAACAUGUUGCCAAUAUCCACUUCGAGACAUGUCUUCCGGGAUUCUUCUGUGUGGGAGGAAAGCCGACUGUAUCAUAACAGCUUUAAGUCUAUACAUUUGAAGAUAUCCUGAGAAGAGGAGAAGCUGUCAAGCGCCUGGGUGACUCGACAUGCACGGACAAAUGAACAACGAUGCAGUAAAAAAAACUUUUAACACUUCAAGACAGGAUGGAAAGCUUCAGUUGUGCACCUGCUAUUGUGGAAUGCCCUGGAGACGAUGACAGCCACCAUUAUCCUGGUCCACAUGUUUUGCAAGCACUGAAUGGCGGGGUAACUAAUGCAAAGUGGACAUCAUCUGAUGUUAUCUUAUGUGAAUGUUUGGAGGAGCACAGUAGGAAAGGAUCAGUUUCUUCACAGUUUUAUUAAGAUUAGAACAUCUUUAGUGGCUUUUCAAUUAUGACACCAUGUUGCACUUACUCUAAAAUUGUUGGACUGAUAAUAAAAUGACUUAAAUUAAUAUUUAACUUGACUGUAUCUUCUGGUGUUACAUAUUGUGAUGGUUUUUUCUUUAUAAGGUUCUGAGUUUAGAGAUUAGAUCAAAAUUCUAGACAUGGCUGAAUGGGCAUAAUUUAGCAUGAUACAUUACAAAUGAACUUGCCUUAAUAUUCUCCCAAAUGUUUCUGUGAUUUGACAUAAUUGUGACAGUGUUUAAAUGCGAUAACAGUCCAUUUUUAAUGAGAGGAACACUUGAACGUGAAGGUAUAUUUGCACAAAGUAAUUACAAUGAAUAAAAGAGCUUGUUUGAUCUUUAUUGACAUUCAUAAUUUCCCGUGUGUGCCACAUCUUGCCGUAAGGUACAGCAAACUUAAAUAGGGUUAAAUGUUAUGCGUCACGGUCCGAGAAAAUAAGGAUGUCAGAUUGGAAGGGUGGGGAGAAACGGAGGAUGAUUGCACACUACAUUUCAAGAGAUCACUAAGGUUACAGCUAUCUACAUCUAGAAACAGACGGGGGAUAAUAAGAAAGUGAGAUAGAGAGAACAUUACAAUUCCUUUGUACAGUUACUCACACUGCAACAAUAUUGCACAACACCACAUUUUUUUUGUAAGUCUAUGUAUAAUUGUGUUUACACUUAUUAAAAAAACAUUUGCAUAUUAAUUUAUUUUCAAUAAAAUAGAAAUUUUAAGUUUUAAAAUAUGAGUUUGUUGAACAUAAACACACUUUAAAAUCUCCAACUAGAGCAAAAAAAGGCACAAAACCGAAACCGAAUUCUGUGCACAUGCAUGAUGCAUUUAGUAUUUUCUGAAAAUAUUUAACGGUUAUUAAUCACUACUGUAAUUGUUUGUCUGCUGUUUACACAGGGGCCAAGCGGCAAACAAAUGGAUUCAAUUAAAACCGAUUCUUCCCUUCAAGUCAUCAAUAUGAGGCAAAUGCCUGUGCCUCUUAACUGUUCAUAUCUCUUUUGGAAAAGUGGAGGCUGUCUAUUGGGACUCUCAGAAUUCUGUCAGUUGGAUGUUUCCAUUACGUUCUCAUCAUGUUCCUGCCAUGUUCUUGUCCCGGCUCCAGCCUGUAGUCAGCUACCCUUCCAGCCACAGGCUAGGCUGGCAGCUGUUUUUUUUUUUUUUUUUUUUGCAAUUGUGUAUCUCUAAGGGCUUGUCUGUCAACUGGAACCCUCCCCUCCAAUUAGGAGUGUAAACACAAGACCCGUCUGUGUGUGUGUGCUUAUGAGAAGUUCACAAACUGUCCCCUAAAACUCUCCUUCCAAAACAAUGCGUAGGGUUUCCAAAACUGCAAAUGAUGCAGGAGAAAUAUUUGCAGUUACAUAUUUCACCCUUCUUUAUAAAUUUGUAUUUAUAUAGACCGCAUCUUAUUUUGACUUAUAUAUGGUAACACAUUAUGACUUAAACUGUAUAUUUGAAAAAGAUAAAGGUAUUUAUAUUUAAAUUUAUUUGACUGCACUGAUAUACUGUAGAGUCAUUUAUAUUGUAGACAUUUAUACUGACAGAUUUUUCUG